UACGUAGGGUGCAAGCGUUGUCCGGAAUUAUUGGGCGUAAAGAGCUCGUAGGCGGUCUGUUGCGUCGGCUGUGAAAACCCGAGGCUCAACCUCGGGCCUGCAGCCGAUACGGGCAGACUAGAGUUCGGCAGGGGAGACUGGAAUUCCUGGUGUAGCGGUGAAAUGCGCAGAUAUCAGGAGGAACACCGGUGGCGAAGGCGGGUCUCUGGGCCGAUACUGACGCUGAGGAGCGAAAGCGUGGGUAGCAAACAGG
rnacentral:rRNA from 1 species